rnacentral:rRNA from 1 species
ACACGACUACAUUAGAUACCCGGGUAGUCCUGGCCGUAAACGAUGUGGACUUGGUGUUGGGAUGGCUCCGAGCUGCCCCAGUGCCGAAGGGAAGCUGUUAAGUCCACCGCCUGGGAAGUACGGUCGCAAGACUGAAACUUAAAGGAAUUGGCGGGGAGCACCACAACGCGUGGAGCCUGCGGUUUAAUUGGACUCAACGCCGGGAAGCUCACCGGAUAAGACAGCGGAAUGAUUGCCGGGCUGAAGACCCUGCAUGACCAGCUG